rnacentral:lncRNA from 1 species
AGUACAUUGAGGCUCGGAGGGAUGUUAUUAAAACACAAGGUGAAGGAAGUGGAAUUUGGAACAACUGUUGUGAAAACCCAUGUGGCAGUAUCUACUAAGCCCGUCACCCAGUAAUUCCGCCGCCACCUCCUUACUCAGCAGGAGCACGCACAGGCUGACACGGCACACUCACGACGCAUGUGACCCGGGUCACGGUCAAACGUCACCGAACUCUCCCAAGGAACACGCGACGUAACUGUUGGCACAGCCGCGUGAAGGAGGACGCCAGGGUUCGAGGCGCACCCACCCGGCCAG